rnacentral:rRNA from 1 species
AACGAACGCUGGCGGCAUGCCUAACACAUGCAAGUCGAACGAGACCUUCGGGUCUAGUGGCGCACGGGUGCGUAACGCGUGGGAACCUGCCCUUAGGUUCGGAAUAACUCCCCGAAAGGGGUGCUAAUACCAGAUAAUGUCUUCGGACCAAAGAUUUAUCGCCUUUGGAUGGGCCCGCGUUGGAUUAGCUAGUUGGUAGGGUAAAAGCCUACCAAGGCGACGAUCCAUAGCUGGUCUGAGAGGAUGAUCAGCCACACUGGGACUGAGACACGGCCCAGACUCCUACGGGAGGCAGCAGUGGGGAAUAUUGGACAAUGGGCGAAAGCCUGAUCCAGCAAUGCCGCGUGAGUGAUGAAGGCCUUAGGGUUGUAAAGCUCUUUUACCCGGGACGAUAAUGACAGUACCGGGAGAAUAAGCUCCGGCUAACUCCGUG